rnacentral:piRNA from 1 species
UUUCCUUAGUAAAUCUCAGGCCUGCUUGAU